rnacentral:rRNA from 1 species
UGUCUAAGUAUAAGCAACUUGUACUGUGAAACUGCGAAUGGCUCAUUAAAUCAGUUAUCGUUUAUUUGAUAGUACCUUACUACAUGGAUACCUGUGGUAAUUCUAGAGCUAAUACAUGCUAAAAACCCCGACUUCAGGAAGGGGUGUAUUUAUUAGAUAAAAAACCAACGCCCUUCGGGGCUCCUUGGUGAAUCAUAAUAACUUAACGAAUCGCAUGGCCUUGCGCCGGCGAUGGUUCAUUCAAAUUUCUGCCCUAUCAACUUUCGAUGGUAGGAUAGUGGCCUACCAUGGUGGCAACGGGUAACGGGGAAUUAGGGUUCGAUUCCGGAGAGGGAGCCUGAGAAACGGCUACCACAUCCAAGGAAGGCAGCAGGCGCGCAAAUUACCCAAUCCCGAUACGGGGAGGUAGUGACAAUAAAUACUGAUACGGGGCUCUUUUGGGUCUCGUAAUUGGAAUGAGAACAAUUUAAAUCCCUUAAUGAGGAACAAUUGGAGGGCAAGUCUGGUGCCAGCAGCCCCC